rnacentral:lncRNA from 1 species
UUGUCCAUCUUUUCAGAGCUUCCUAAUGCAUGGAAAAGCAAGCAGGAAUGACAUCUGUAUGGUUCUAGAAUGAUAACAGUUACUUUGGUUAUAUCUGUUUGCUGAUGGGGGUGGAAGCUUUGAAGAGACUCACACCAAAUACAAUCUGGCCAUGGUGUAAGGUGCCUUCUGAUCAUAAUUUAAAAUAUCUGGAAAAGAGAACACAUGCAGAACAAAUGAUCCCUAAAGCUCCGAAUUGGAUUGUCUUUUCUCUGUGUCUAGGGCCAAAGAAUAAGGAAAAAAGAAAGGAAGAAAGAGAAGCAAUCAGAAAAACCAAAUUUAUCUAAUUCCAUCUAAAAUUGUGGGAAUGAGUCUCCUCAUUUUCUGGUGUGCUCCCACCCUCUAACUCAAAUUGCUUUUGGUUUUGAUUUUGUUUGUUGUUGUUGAUUGGUGCUGGGCAGACUUCCCAAUGCUAGGCAUGCCCUCCACCAUUAAGCUACAUCCCCAGCCCCUCAACUCAAAUUGGAAAGGUCUAAAUUGUUUUAGAUUAAGUAAAUCAUGAAUAAAUUUUCUGUAUUACUAUAAGAGAGGUUUUGCUAUAUUCUGGUUUGAAGUUAAUUUGUAUGGGUUAUAAAUGAAAAGGAGAAGGACUGGGAAAUACACAUUUAUUAUAAAAUAACUGAGAUAAAUUCUGCAGUGUCAUAAGUAUGUGUAGAUUUGAUAGAACUCAAGCAUUUUGUCUUUCACAAUGCAACAAGAGAUGAAGAUGUAAAAGGUGACUGCUUUCUAUAAGGAGCAGCUAACACCCUCAUUUACAUCACUGUGGCUGUGGGAGAGGCUUCAAAUUGUUACUCCAGAGCCUAAUCUAAACAGCAACUUAUCCAGACCAUCCCCAAGUGAAAGUCACAAAUGGAUGGAAAAGAGGGUGCGUUUGGUAGGAAAUGUGCCAUGCAUGGGGUUCCUUGCAGGGAAUGGAUGGGGGCAGAUCUGUUUUCGGGAUGUUCUGUGACUUCUGAUACUUGGCCAAAAUUGUGGUUAACUUGGCCCAAGCCACCAUUCCUUCCCAUAUGCUUGUAAAUGGUAUUGGAAGCAGUCAGUUUCAGCUUCUGGAUGGAUGAUACCCACCACCACCACCACCACCCCCAACCACCCCCCACCCCUGGCCCUGAGACAGACAGACAGACAGACAGACACACACACACACACACACACACACACACACACUAUGUUUGCAUGCACACUGGGGGAGAGGGUUAAUAAGUAUCCACGCCUUCCCUUAAUACCAAAAAUCUCUUCUUUCACUUUGGGCUUCUCCCUACUUCUGUUGUAUAAGAAUACUAGAAGUAAUAAUAACAACAAAAACUCAAGGCUUGUUCUUUUUUGGUACCAGGGAUUGAACUCAGGACCUUGCGCCUGAGAGGCGGGCGCUGGAACCACUAUGCUAAAUCCCCAGCCCUCAAGGCUUAUUCUUGUUUCCUCCUUUGAAUAGAUAUUUGCCUGUUCCUAUUUGUGGACAGGGUCUAGUCUUAGUUACCUAGAUUAAGCUACCCUCAGAAUGGGGUUAAUUUUGAGAUCACCCACUGUGUCCAACUGAUGCCCCGGUGAGAAUCAAGGUCAUUCUUCGGUGGGGGAAAGGGAUUCCAAGCCCCCCCCUGCAGCCCUGGAGCUGUUCAUCAGACUAGAAGCCUAAGGCCCAAGUCACUCUAAUUAACGUGCAAAUGUUGGCCAGCCUCUUGGCCAGUUUUAUGGGGUUUCACUGGCAGGGUCACAGGGUCUGAUGCUAGGGCUCUCAUGAGGAUUAAGGGUCUCAAUGAAUCAUGUGACUGUAAGUGGACUUGGAUGGUGACUGUUUUCAGGAGACCUAACCCCCACCUUGUGCUUUGCACCCUGAGGGUCUCUUUCCAUUCCCUGAAGGGAAUACCAGUCUUCUAGGAAUUAACAAAAGAAGGCACUCUCAGAAACUUAAACUGUUCUCCCCAUCUGUAUCUUGGCACAGAUGUAUAUGUGGAUGUAUACCUUGGCCUGUUGCAUCUAACCACUUUUCAACAAAUGAGAAGACCGAGGUGAAGAUGCACAUAAUGCCUGGUCAUAAUGUGCCAUUAGUGAAAUCAAGCUUGGUAACCUCCUCUCCCCUCCUGGGGUAGUUAUUUCUAAAGAUCUUUUGUUUAUGAAAAAUAAAGAAGUACAUACAGAGGAAGUUUCAGCAGGAAAUAUUUUGAGGGAGAGAAAAAAAAAAAAAAAAAAAACCAGUUUAGAGAGCCAGGCGGGAAAAGAGGCAGCCAGAGAAAUGACAGGGUGGAGGUCAGUUAACUGAACAGACCUAUCUCCACCAUUUCCGGAAAGUCUCCACUCCAAGGCAGCUGUUAGAAGCUGGAAUGAUCAUACCACAGAUUCUGUGUCUUGGUUAUUAUUUUUCUAAGCGAGCCCAGGAGAAUGGAUUCUAUUCUCCAAAGGAAAGGAAAUAGUGACUCCAAAAGGGAAGCAGCUCUCAACAAAAGCACUGGUGGAUCUGGUGACAAGAGGGACACGCGCCUCACUUACAGCCUGGAUAUUGUCUAGGGGAGGAGAUGGGAUGCCAGCAGCCGGGACUUCAGGGUGCAGGAUGAGCCCGCUGGGCACAGGCUGCUGGCGGGUGGCUGUGUUCCUGGGCUGGAGAAGAGGCUGUUACCCAGCUGGGGGGAUAGCCUAGAUUCACAAGGAGUCACAGAGGCAGGUUUCCACUUCCUCUUUACUGCUCGAGGAAUCUCACUUCCCAGGCUUCUCCCCAAGAAGAGCCUGGGCAUGAGAGGUCCACUGAGAAGGCCGGAAGCCCCGAGUUCCAACGCAACCCUAGGCGACCCGGGUUAGCCGGCGACCCGGGUUAGCCGCCGGCCCGGGUCGGAGCCGGCUCCAGCGGACGGACGGAACGGAGUACCGGGAGGAAGAAGUGAGCUCACCGGGCAAGGAAAGCAGGAGGCUCGGCCUGGCCGCCGCGGCCCUGGGCGCCGAGCUCUGAGGCGCAAAACCUGGAGGAGAAGCUGUGCGCCCAGGUCCUCCGCGGCCGCCCUCCGAAGAGGCCGCCCAGCCCGACUCCAGCCAUUCUCACAGCUCCCUCAGAAGGGGAGCGCCAGGCGCGACCUGCAGGUUCCGGCCUGGAAGACUGAGGCUGGAGUCCCAGGGUGCGCGCUGGCUGCGUUCUGGCCGAGGCGGCCUUCGAGUCGCCAGGCUUCCCAUCCUCCCUCCGCGUACGCGUUUCUUUCUGAGCCUCUCGCACCCGUGCAUGCUCUCUCUCUCUCUCUCUCUCUCUCUCUCUCUCUCUCUCUCUCUCUCUCUCUCUGGCUCUGGAAAAAACCAGGUCCUGCACCUGUAAUUUGCGAUUAGAAGUUUAUUUCCAUGUGAAUGCCAGUGCCCGAAGUUUUUGAAUCCUUCUCUACAGGAAAGGUAGAAUAACGUGCUGCGCAAUCUGUUUUCCAACCUCGCGCCCUCUACACAACUGCGACAUCACCAGGGUGCUCCGACGCAGUUCGGCCUACAGAAAUGUAUAGAGAGGGCUGCGAUUUCACCUCGGCACCUGGCCCUGUAAGCGGAAAGUUUGGGAGUGUAGGACAAGCAUUUCCAAACUGACUUUGGGCUGAACGAAUGCCAGGGUGCCUGUCGCCUGGGGAGGAUCCGCACCGUUGGUUCUCCGAAGCAGUGCUCCGGCCGACCGGCUCUGCCGCGGAACAGUCACUCGGCGGCCGAAACACGGG